AGAGUUUGAUCCUGGCUCAGAUUGAACGCUGGCGGAAUGCUUUACACAUGCAAGUCGAGCGGCAGCACGGGGGCAACCCUGGUGGCGAGCGGCGAACGGGUGAGUAAUACAUCGGAACAUGCCCAGUCGUGGGGGAUAACACUUCGAAAGAAGUGCUAAUACCGCAUACGUCCUGAGGGAGAAAGCGGGGGAUCGCAAGACCUCGCGCGAUUGGAGUGGCCGAUGUCAGAUUAGCUAGUUGGUGGGGUAAAGGCCUACCAAGGCAACGAUCUGUAGCUGGUCUGAGAGGAUGAUCAGCCACACUGGGACUGAGACACGGCCCAGACUCCUACGGGAGGCAGCAGUGGGGAAUUUUGGACAAUGGGGGCAACCCUGAUCCAGCCAUUCCGCGUGAGUGAAGAAGGCCUUCGGGUUGUAAAGCUCUUUCGGCAGGAACGAAACGGCGAGCUCUAACAUAGCUUGCUAAUGACGGUACCUGAAGAAGAAGCACCGGCUAACUACGUGCCAGCAGCCGCGGUAAU
rnacentral:rRNA from 1 species